UGGGUCUCUAUGGGGUCUCUAUGGGGUCUCUAUGGAUCUCUAUGGGUCUCUAUGGGGUCUCUAUGGGGUCUCUAUGGGGCUCUAUGGGUCUUUAUGGGGUCUCUAUGGGGCUCUAUGGGUCUCUAUGGGGUCUCUAUGGGGUCUCUAUGGGGCUCUAUGGGUCUCUAUGGGGUCUCUAUGGGGUCUCUAUGGUCCCAUUCUGCUCUAUGGGGCUCUAUGGGGUCUCUAUGGGUCUCUAUGGGGUCUCUAUGGGGCUCUAUGGGUCUUUAUGGGGUCUCUAUGGGGUCUCUAUGGGUCUCUAUGGAGUCCCUGUGGGGCUCAAUGGGGUCUCUAUGGGUCUCUAUGGGGUCUCUAUGUGGCUCUACGGGUCUCUAUUGGUCUCUAUGGGGUCUCUAUGGGUCUCUAUGGGGUCUCUGUGUCUCUAUGGGUCUCUAUGGGUCUCUAUGGGGUCUCUAUGGGUCUCUAUGGGUCUCUAUGGGACUCUAUGGGGUCUCUAUGAGGCUCUAUGGGGUCUCUAUGGGUCUCUAUGGGUCUCUAUGGGUCUCUAUGGGACUCUAUGGAUUCUCUAUGAGGCUCUAUGGGGUCUCUAUGGGUCUCUAUGGGUCUCUAUGGGACUCUAAGUGGCUUUAUGGGGCUCUGUGGGGUCUCUAUGGGUCCCAAUGUUCUCCUUGACUCUCUAUGGGACUCUAUGGGGUCUAUGGGUCUCUAUGGGGUCUCUAUGGGUCCCAAUGUUCUCUUAGGUUCUCUAUGGGGCUCAGUGGGGCUCUGUGGGGUCCCAUAUUGCCCCCCACUGUCCCCAUUAUCCCCCAUUAUCCCCAUUAUCCCCAUUAUCCCCAUUGUCCCCAUUAUCCCCCAUUNNNNNNNNNNNNNNNNNNNNNNNNNCUCAGUGUCACCCUGACCCCAUGGGGGGGGGGUCCCCAUUCCAUUAUGGGGGGUCUCGGUGUCACCCUGACCCCAAAGUGGGGGUCCCAGUCCCAUGGUGUCCCCAGGGUGGGGGUCCCAACAUCACCACGACCCCAUGGUGGGGGUCCCAGGUCCACAAUGGGGGUCUUGGGGUCACCUUGUCCCCAAGGGGGGGGGGGUCCCAACCCCAAGAUUGGGGUCCCAACGUCACCAUGUCCCCAUAAUGGGGGUCCCAACCCCAAGAUGGGGGUCCCAACAUCACCAUAUCCCCAUGAUGGGGGUCUCAGGUCCAGGAUGGGGUCCCACCUUCAGAAUGGGGGGUCUCAGGUCCAGGAUGGGGGUCUUGGUGUCACCUUAUCCCCAAGGGGGGGGGGUCCCAACCCCAAGAUUGGGGUCCCAAUGUUACCAUGUCCCCAGAAUGGGGGUCCCAAUGUCGCCAUAAUGGGGGUCCCACCUCCAGGAUGGGGGUCCCAAAGUCACCAUGUCCCCAAGAUGGGGGUCCCAGGUCCAGGAUGGGGGCCCCAAAGUCACCAUGUCCCCAUGAUGGGGGUCCCAAUGUCCCCAUAA
rnacentral:lncRNA from 1 species